UCCCUCUUAGCUCAGUGGUAGAGCGCUUCACUAGUAUCUUCGCGUAUCGUCAUGAAGAGGUCAGUCGUUCAAGUCGGCUAGAGGGAA
rnacentral:tRNA from 1 species